GCUUUGGGCAAAGAUUAUUUUUCUUCAAUUGUCAUGCCAUUAAGUUUUAAUUAACACAACUAGGAUUCAGUGUCCUUUAAUUAACUCCUUGAAGAAGACAUCCAUACUCAUUAUCAAUACCUCUAGCUUAAUAUAAAUGAAAGGUUAGUUUAAUAGUCUCCAACAGCGGAAAGUUGUUUGUAUUACAAUUUAUUUAUUUAUUUUAAUUAUUUUUUUUUAUUUUUUUAUUUUUUUUAUUUUGGGGGGUAACACCAGAGAAUAAAUAUAUGAAAGUGAGUUACUAAAUAAUAACAUUAAAGAGCAUAAUAACACUUUAAAUGCCUAAUAAAAAAAGUUCUCAGCAAAUAAAAAGAAAUUGCCUUGGUACUGCAGAGGUUUGCAAUUACAUUAAAAUAAAACUUGAGCAGCAGGACAAAUAUCUGGGAAUACCUGAAGAUUUAGUGAAACUAUUUUUAAAAACUUUCUUUUUUGCUUACUUGAGGUACAUGAUAUGGAGGAGAUUGUUUUUUAAUUCAGUUUUUAUAUAGGUUCUAUAUCCAAAUGCAUCUAAAGGGGUUUUUUUUCAUUUAAAAAAACCUUAUACUUCAGAUUACUUUUUUAUAUCGCACCUUAAAAAUCCUGACCUGAAUUUGUCACCUGACACAGGGCUAUAGCAACCAUGCUAAGACAAGAAGGUCAGGUGCCUUUGUAUAGCACUACUGUAAACUCAUUACUUUGUCCCAGUUUAAGGGCUAAAAGUGACAAUCAUGUUACCAUGCAUGCUUUUUUUUUUUUUUUUUUUUUUUUGACCAUGCAUGCUAAUAGCUGUUCAUGUACCGACAGAAUCAGGCUGCUCACAAUCCCCAACACUGCCUAGACCCUCUGUCCUGAUAAACAUUAAUUUAAAAGGGUAAACAUAAUCCAUGCAGUCCUGGUUUCACACGUCCACUUUCACACACAUCAUUUAUUCUGCAGUUCAGAACUCUUUGAGCAACAGGCAAAAGUAGAUCUGUAAGUAAAGUGCUGUAUGUUUGUUGUUAGAGAAAUAUAUCACCUGUAUAGGAUUUCUGGUUGAAUAUGUUGGCAAUAAUAGGAUGUUCAUGUAAUAUACUGUUCUGUUUAUUACAAUGAC
ensembl:lncRNA